rnacentral:lncRNA from 1 species
CAGCAACGGGCGCAUGCGUGAAAAACUUUUUCGUUUGGCGGUAGUCCAAAAUGAACUCACUCGCCGGUCGUCCGUUCCCAUCACUUGUUAACUCGGACCGGCAUCUGACAUGUCGAGUGUGUCAGACAGCAGAGGAAAUCUCAGCAUCAAAAAUCGCUCAGUUUCUGUGAUUUAUAUCUAAAACGUGGCAACAUAUUUAUUAAUUAAUUAAAAGACCAGAAUGAGUAUGCCCAUUCUGAACGGAAUAGUUAAGACAUCUUUCAAACAGGCUACCUGCUUUUACCUAGUUUAGUACAAUCAUACGGAAGCAGUUUUAUAUUUCAGAGAAUGAGUGAAGAAAAGCUUGUCGUGUUACAACAUGCUUCACAGUUUUCCAUAAUUCAAGGAAAGGUCUAGCCCUUCUUUCAUAACCAUUCAGCAAUGUACCAAUCAUUCCAAAGACCCUUUGCAAAAAUAAGCAAAUGUUCCAAAAAUGUGUUCUGCUUCAGCUGUUCCGAAGAACUUUUAAGAAUAUAUGUAUUCGAAAAAUGGAAGUAAAAGCACAGCAUCCAGAGGAAUAUCCU